rnacentral:rRNA from 1 species
CCUUGACCUCAAAUCAGGUAGGAUUACCCGCUGAACUUAA